AUUGAACGCUGGCGGCAUGCCUAACACAUGCAAGUCGAGCGGAUGAACGGAGCUUGCUCCUGGCUUCAGUUGCGGACGGGUGUGUAAUGCCUAGGAAUCUGACCGGUCGUGGAGACUAACGUCCGGAAAGGGGCGCUAAUCUCAUAUCGGUUCUGAUAGAGAAAGGGGGGGAUCUACGGACCUCUCGGGUUUAGAUGAGCCUAGUUCGGAUUAGCUAGUCGGUGUGGUAAAGGCCUACCAAGGCGACGAUCCGUAACUGGUCUGAGAGGCUGAUCAGUCACACUGGAACUGAGACACGGUCCAGACUCCUACGGGAGGCAGCAGUGGGGAAUAUUGGACAAUGGGCGAAAGCCUGAUCCAGCAAUGCCGCGUGUGUGAUGAAGGUCUUCGGAUUGUAAAGCACUGUAAGUUGGGAGGAAGAACAGUAAGUUAAUACCUGGAUGUUUUGACGGUACCAAAAGAAUAAGCACCGGCUAACUACGUG
rnacentral:rRNA from 1 species